GAUGAACGCUAGCGGCAGGCCUAAUACAUGCAAGUCGAACGGUGUCUUCGGACAUAGUGGCGCACGGGUGCGUAACACGUAUGCAACCUACCUUACAUUGGGGGAUAGCCUUUCGAAAGGGAGAUUAAUACCGCAUAAGACAGUAGCUGGGCAUCCAGCAGCAGUUAAAGAUUUAUCGAUGUAAGCUGGGCAUGCGUCCAAUUAGCUAGUUGGUGAGGUAACGGCUCACCAAGGCAAUGAUUGGUAGGGGAACUGAGAGGUCAAUCCCCCACACUGGCACUGAGAUACGGGCCAGACUCCUACGGGAGGCAGCAGUAGGGAAUAUUGGGCAAUGGACGCAAGUCUGACCCAGCCAUGCCGCGCAGGAUGAAGGCGUUAUGCGUUGUAAACUGCCUUUAUACAGGAAGAAACGACUCUUGCGAGAGGCAUUGACGGUACUGUAUGAAUAAGCACCGGCUAACUCCGUGCCAGCAGCCGCCGUAAUAC
rnacentral:rRNA from 1 species